rnacentral:rRNA from 1 species
GACGAACGCUGGCGGCGUGCUUAACACAUGCAAGUCGAACGGUGAUGAUGGGGCUUGCCCUGUCGGGUCAGUGGCGAACGGGUGAGUAACACGUGAGUAACCUGCCCCAGACUCUGGGAUAACUCCGGGAAACCGGAGCUAAUACCGGAUAGGACCCUUCGACGCCUGUUCUGGGGGUGGAAAGUUCGUCGGUUUGGGAUGGGCUCGCGGCCUAUCAGCUUGUUGGUGAGGUAGUGGCUCACCAAUGCGACGACGGGUAGCCGGCCUGAGAGGGCGACCGGCCACACUGGGACUGAGACACGGCCCAGACUCCUACGGGAGGCAGCAGUGGGGAAUAUUGCACAAUGGGCGCAAGCCUGAUGCAGCGACGCCGCGUGAGGGAUGACGGCCUUCGGGUUGUAAACCUCUUUCAGCAGGGGAGAAGCCUUUUGGGGUGACGGUACCUGCAGAAGAAGCACCGGCUAACUACGUGCCAGCCGCCGCCGUAAUAC